AUUGAACGCUGGCGGCAGGCCUAACACAUGCAAGUCGAGCGGAUGAAGGGAGCUUGUUCCUGGAUUCAGCGGCGGACGGGUGAGUAAUGCCUAGGAAUCUGCCUGGUAGUGGGGGAUAACGUCCGGAAACGGGCGCUAAUACCGCAUACGUUCUGAGGGAGAAAGUGGGGGAUCUUCGGACCUCACGCUAUCAGAUGAGCCUAGGUCGGAUUAGCUAGUUGGUGGGGUAAAGGCCUACCAAGGCGACGAUCCGUAACUGGUCUGAGAGGAUGAUCAGUCACACUGGAACUGAGACACGGUCCAGACUCCUACGGGAGGCAGCAGUGGGGAAUAUUGGGCAAUGGGCGAAAGCCUGAUCCAGCCAUGCCGCGUGUGUGAAGAAGGUCUUCGGAUUGUAAAGCACUUUAAGUUGGGAAGAAGGGCAGUGAGUUAAUACCUUGCUGUUUUGACGUUACCAACAGAAUAAGCACCGGCUAACUUCGUG
rnacentral:rRNA from 1 species